CAGUCGUACCGACGGAAAAUCAGCUUUUUGAGUGCGGACUUGUGGGUUUACGUGAGCUUUACGGCCUCGUUGUUUGCAAUGUUCGUUCUUUUUGGGUGUACUUUUUCGUAUGGUUGGCCAAUAUCAGUUUCGAUCGCUAUAAAAUGACCGGCGGAAUGUAGCUUCGAUCUCGUAUUGAAGUGUUAUAGCCUCUGGUAGAUGUGGUGAUUGGGACUGAGGAUUGCAACGAAUACCUUUUUGGGCUAUCCGUCUGAUCUCUGAAAGUUGCUUAGGUGCCGAAAGCAUGCUUACGGUUAUCAAAGUCGAUGGUCAAUAGGUUAGAACGGGUUAAA
rnacentral:rRNA from 1 species